rnacentral:rRNA from 1 species
CCUACGGGAGGCAGCAGUAGGGAAUAUUCGUCAAUGGGCGCAAGCCUGAACGAGCGAUGCCGCGUGAGUGAAGAAGGCCUUCGGGUCGUAAAGCUCUGUUGCGGGGGAAAAAAGGCAGCAUCAGGAAAGGGGUGCUGACUGAUGGUGCCCCGCCAGAAAGUCACGGCUAACUACGUGCCAGCAGCCGCGGUAAUACGGAGGUGGCUAGCUUAAUCCGGAAUGGUUGGGCGGAAAGGGAGCGGAGGCGGUCCUGCAAGUCUGGAGUGAAACUCAUGAGCUCAACUCAUGCAUGGCUUUGGAAACUGGAGGACUGGAGGGCAGGAGAGGGCGGUGGAACUCCAUGUGUAGCGGUAAAAUGCGUAGAUAUUUGGAAGAACACCAGUGGCGAAGGCGGCCGCCUGGCCUGUUGCUGACGCUGAGGCACGAAAGCGUGGGGAGCAAAUAGGAUUAGAUACCCGGGUAGUC